rnacentral:rRNA from 1 species
GAUGAACGCUGGCGGCGUGCCUAAUACAUGCAAGUCGAGCGAACAGACGAGGAGCUUGCUCCUCUGACGUUAGCGGCGGACGGGUGAGUAACACGUGGAUAACCUACCUAUAAGACUGGGAUAACUUCGGGAAACCGGAGCUAAUACCGGAUAAUAUAUUGAACCGCAUGGUUCAAUAGUGAAAGACGGUUUUGCGGUCACUUAUAGAUGGAUCCGCGCCGCAUUAGCUAGUUGGUAAGGUAACGGCUUACCAAGGCAACGAUGCGUAGCCGACCUGAGAGAGUGAUCGGCCACACUGGAACUGAGCCACGGUCCAGACUCCUACGGGAGGCAGCAGUAGGGAAUCUUCCGCAAUGGGCGAAAGCCUGACGGAGCAACGCCGCGUGAGUGAUGAAGGUCUUCCGAUCGUAAAACUCUGUUAUUAGGGAAGAACAAAUGUGUAAGUAACUAUGCACGUCUUGACGGUACCUAAUCAGAAAGCCACGGCUAACUACGUG